AAAUAUUGCAUUCCUAUUCUGGUCCCGUAUUGAAAUUGCAAGUGGUCCCUCUGAAUUUUGACCCAAUUGUUAUAAAUUCCAGAUGAACUGAAUAAAACUACUACUUGUAGGCAAACAAUAAAAUUGUACGGGCAUUUGGAGAGAAGAGAGUAGAGGAUAAUUUGAAGAACCACGUGGACCUUUGCAGGAUGCUUGAUAUUGUCGCAUUGGAAAAGGGUAUAUGCUCUCAACUUUUCUCUAUUUACAUGUGCUUUUUUACCGCCAGUAUUGCUUGUGUUAAGCAUGUUUCAAAGUUAUUACAAACCUGACUGUGGAGAGACGGACGGUGGUGGGCCCAUCCGUGAUCCGGCAAAGAAGUGGUUGCAUGAUUGAGAACAGAGCUAAGGAUGGGGUUAGGAGGGAGAGCUGGAAAUGGGUCACGAGGACUGUUGUUGAUUUUUGACGUGCGUAGUCGGUGAAUUGGCGCUAAUUCUGCAUCGUUUUAUACUUUAAUUGGUAUAACUGUGCUGAAUACUUUUUUAUGUGUUUAGCUUGGUGUGUGGUUCACUUGAUAGAAAUGAAAUCUAACUUGUGGACUUAAGGAAUUAUACAGUAGCUUGCCUAUGUAUUAACAUGUACUUGAUUCUAAAUAACAAAUAAUUUCCACUGCUGGGACUGAAAAUUAGUAUCCAUCUACUCCUUGAUUAGGACAUGGCUUAGAAAAUGUCAUCUUUCACUGUAUGUACUGUCUUUGAUUGUGCUUUCGUUUAAAAUGUAGUAAUAAAUAGCUAUGCUUAGCGUGAAGUAUAUAUGAGAAUACAGCAAGGAAAUAAGUCAAUGUACCUCUUGUCCUCGGAGUCGCAAUUGCUAGAAAUUGGAGUUGUGCUCGUUCAGCUCGAUGGUCUGACUUCCAUAAUCACUUAGGAAUUAGAUUAAUAAGUGGACACUAACUUCUGUCAGAAAUUAUGGGAAAACAGUACUAGAGAUAUGCUUAUUUAAGACGCACAUUUUAAAAUGGAUAUCACUGUUCAGCUUCAAGAUCAUAUCCUGUAGCAAAAGGAUCACAUCUACCCAACUCUUUCACAUGGAUUUUUAAAAUCUGUAGUGUUUAAAGAACCAGAAAUGGAUUUGCUUGUUUCUAAUUCAUUCCUUCUACUUUACAUCCAUUUUUUAUUUCCUUGCAGCCAUUGUCUCAGAUAGAUAACCUUCUGCAGACAUCUUAUGAUCAAGGGGACAAAUGAGAUCAUGCCAACUCUACUCCAUGUACUGCUGGUGUCACAGGUUUGCCCACUAAGCUUGAUUGCAUUUUGCUUCACUUAUCUAUGGAUUUAU
rnacentral:lncRNA from 1 species